rnacentral:rRNA from 1 species
AUUGAACGCUGGCGGAAUGCUUUACACAUGCAAGUCGAACGGUAGAGGGGGCAACCCCUUGAGAGUGGCGAACGGGUGAGUAAUAUAUCGGAACGUGCCCAGUCGUGGGGAUAACGUAGCGAAAGUUACGCUAAUACCGCAUACGAUCUACGGAUGAAAGCGGGGGACUCGCAAGAGCCUCGCGCGAUUGGAGCGGCCGAUAUCAGAUUAGGUAGUUGGUGGGGUAAAGGCUCACCAAGCCAACGAUCUGUAGCUGGUCUGAGAGGACGACCAGCCACACUGGAACUGAGACACGGUCCAGACUCCUACGGGAGGCAGCAGUGGGGAAUUUUGGACAAUGGACGCAAGUCUGAUCCAGCCAUUCCGCGUGCAGGAUGAAGGCCCUCGGGUUGUAAACUGCUUUUGUACGGAACGAAAAGGUUUCUAUUAAUACUAGGAGCUCAUGACGGUACCGUAAGAAUAAGCACCGGCUAACUACGUGCCAGCAGCCGCGGUAA